CACGUAGGCGGACCAGAAAGUUGGGGUGAAAUCCCGGGGCUCAACCCCGGAACUGCCCUCAAAACUAUUGGUCUGGAGUUCGAGAGAGGUGAGUGGAAUUCCGAGUGUAGAGGUGAAAUUCGUAGAUAUUCGGAGGAACACCAGUGGCGAAGGCGGCUCACUGGCUCGAUACUGACGCUGAGGUGCGAAAGCGUGGGGAGCAAACAA
rnacentral:rRNA from 1 species